AUUGAACGCUGGCGGCAUGCUUUACACAUGCAAGUCGAACGGUAACAGGCCUUCGGGUGCUGCCGAGUGGCGAACGGGUGAGUAAUGCAUCGGAACGUACCCAGAGGUGGGGGAUAACGCAGCGAAAGCUGUGCUAAUACCGCAUGUGAUCUGAGGAUGAAAGCGGGGGACCGAGCAGCAAUGUUUGGCCUCGCGCCUUUGGAGCGGCCGAUGUCGGAUUAGCUAGUUGGUGGGGUAAAGGCCUACCAAGGCGACGAUCCGUAGCUGGUCUGAGAGGACGAACAGCCACACUGGAACUGAGACACGGCCCAGACUCCUACGGGAGGCAGCAGUGGGGAAUUUUGGACAAUGGGCGCAAGCCUGAUCCAGCAAUGCCGCGUGCGGGAAGAAGGCCUUCGGGUUGUAAACCGCUUUUGGCAGGAACGAAACGGUGUCCGCUAAUACCGGGCGCUAAUGACGGUACCUGCAGAAUAAGCACCGGCUAACUACGUG
rnacentral:rRNA from 1 species